rnacentral:misc_RNA from 1 species
GAGGGAAAUUCAGUGCUUUCUUUGAAUAAUCUAUAGUUUCUUAAUAAUAUAGCUUUGCUUCGACCCGAUCGAUCGUUUCGAUUCGAAUACAGAAUCGAGUCGAAAGGGAUCCCAAAGCCAUACGAUUUGUUGCCAUUAUCCCUUUCUCUCUACCUUUUUCUUUUUCUCCUUUUACAAUUAUUUCUCUUUUGCUCAUUCACUGAAAGUUUCCCAUUU